rnacentral:rRNA from 1 species
AUUGAACGCUGGCGGCAGGCUUAACACAUGCAAGUCGAGCGGGGUGAUGGUGCUUGCACUAUCACUUAGCGGCGGACGGGUGAGUAAUGCUUAGGAAUCUGCCUAUUAGUGGGGGACAACAUCUCGAAAGGGAUGCUAAUACCGCAUAAGUCCUACGGGAGAAAGCAGGGGAUCACGUGUGACCUUGGGCUAAUAGAUGAGCCUAAGUCGGAUUAGCUAGUUGGUGGGGUAAAGGCCUACAAAGGCGACGAUCUGUAGCGGGUCUGAGAGGAUGAUCCGCCACACUGGGACUGGGACACGGCCCAGACUCCUACGGGAGGCAGCAGUGGGGAAUAUUGGACAAUGGGGGGAACCCUGAUCCAGCCAUGCCGCGUGUGUGAAGAAGGCCUUAUGGUUGUAAAGCACUUUAAGCGAGGAGGAGGCUCUUUUGGUUAAUACCCAAGAUGAGUGGACGUUACUCGCAGAAUAAGCACCGGCUAACUCUGUGCCAGCCGCCGCCGUAA